CCUACGGGUGGCUGCAGUGGGGAAUAUUGGACAAUGGGCGAAAGCCUGAUCCAGCCAUGCCGCGUGUGUGAAGAAGGCCUUCGGGUUGUAAAGCACUUUCAGUGGGGAAGAAAGCCUUGGGGCUAAUACCCUCGAGGAAGGACAUCACCCACAGAAGAAGCACCGGCUAACUCCGUGCCAGCAGCCGCGGUAAUACGGAGGGUGCGAGCGUUAAUCGGAAUUACUGGGCGUAAAGCGCGCGUAGGCGGUCUGAUAAGCCGGUUGUGAAAGCCCCGGGCUCAACCUGGGAACGGCAUCCGGAACUGUCAGGAUAGAGUGCAGGAGAGGAAGGUAGAAUUCCCGGUGUAGCGGUGAAAUGCGUAGAGAUCGGGAGGAAUACCAGUGGCGAAGGCGGCCUUCUGGAAUGACACUGACGCUGAGGUGCGAAAGCGUGGGUAGCAAACAGGAUUAGAUACCCGGGUAGUC
rnacentral:rRNA from 1 species